AAUUUCUUCCGGGUUGCAUUAGAUUCCCAAACUUGCGUUCGGGUGCUUCCUUUUCCCUCCAUGGAGAAGCAGAAGCAGAAGAGCGGCAUUAUUAGAUGCGGUCAUUUGAAUAACUCAGAUUAUUGGUGGUUUUAUGUUGAAUCUCUCCUGAUCUGCCAGGCUUUGAUGCAAUGGCAAUGGUAACUGUAGCCUUUUAUGCAAAUUUUGCUCUUUUCAUUUGCUGAGCUGAAUGGUUUCUAUGGGCAGAUUUAUGACCCAUAACAAAGUUCACAAUGCUUCUUUCAACUAUCGGAACUGAUGGAUAAGUAAGUUGUUCUAUAGUCAACACAAUGAUAUUUGGUGGAUGGCCAAUGGUGCAACUGGAGUCACAAUGGUUGGGUCUCUUUCAGAGCAGACUGAACACCUAUUUGAAAGUUGUAUUCAUCCUGUUGGGGUUGCUGAAAGUUAUGAGAUGGCUUCUUUUUGAGUUGGCACUGCAAACAUACAACCUUCAGUUUGGACGUGCUUGACUACUUUGUCCCAAAGAUGUUUCACCAGGCAGGACUCUUUGGGACACACAGCACCAAACGGGCAAGUUUCAUUGGAAAGUAGCCAAGCAUGACACUAUACAUCUUGUUAAUCUGAUGGGAGAAAUAUACACCAGCCUUAUCUUUCUCCUUCUCCUAUCAAAGAUUGAACUGCAGGCCUGCAGCAAGGCGGUUGGACCAAUUUGAGAGGAAGACUGUUUGGGAAGAGGAAUAUUGGAUAGAAAAGAAAGGAAUUGGUAUUCAAUUUUUCUAUCUUCUUGCUUGAAAACUGAAAAGUAAAAGAUUGGUGGCUGGGAAUGUGAGCAGAUUCUGGAGGAAAUCUGCAUAGAAAGCCCGCUUCAAAGGGGUGGAUGUUCAUGGCAACUCCUCUUCGGAACACCCAUUCCCAAUUCCAUCCAUCUCUGAAACUCUCUAAUUUGAAUGGCACUGUUAACUUGUCAAGAAUUGGAUCAACACUUGAUUUGUGAUAUCAAACCACUCGUAUUUUAAA